UCACAUGAAGAGAGUGAAGUGAGGAGUUUCCUGCAGUGUCUGCCUUAUAUCUCACAGCUCAGUGUUGAGUUUUGGGAUCGAGAUGAAGCAGUCAGGUUCUUUGUGAAUCUGUUCUGUGCAGCAGCAGAGAGAGAACAGCAGACAGGAGAGAAGAUGGUGGAGCUGUUAUCAUCAGUGUGCAGAUAUCAAACAUUCCCUGUUCAUGAGAAAGACAUGGAUGAUGAUGAUGAUGAUGAUGAUGAUGACGAUGAUAUGAAGAAACGUCAGUGUGAUCACCUCCUGGAUCUGUACUCCCAUGUGAAGGACUGUGAGACUAAAACAGGCUUGAGUAUCCUUCCAUCAUUACAGUCAGUUUUCCAGUCAGCUCCUGCAGUCUGGUCCAUAAACCUCUCAGAGAGAAAGACCUCCAUCCUCCUGGAAGUGCUGAGACUCCAACCAGAGAAGAAACAAGUGGA